rnacentral:rRNA from 1 species
GGGAUAACAUUUGGAAACAGAUGCUAAUACCGCAUAACAACAAAAGCCACAUGGCUUUUGUUUGAAAGAUGGCUUUGGCUAUCACUCUGGGAUGGACCUGCGGUGCAUUAGCUAGUUGGUAAGGUAACGGCUUACCAAGGCGAUGAUGCAUAGCCGAGUUGAGAGACUGAUCGGCCACAAUGGAACUGAGACACGGUCCAUACUCCUACGGGAGGCAGCAGUAGGGAAUCUUCCACAAUGGGCGCAAGCCUGAUGGAGCAACACCGCGUGAGUGAAGAAGGGUUUCGGCUCGUAAAGCUCUGUUGUUGGAGAAGAACGUGCGUGAGAGUAACUGUUCACGCAGUGACGGUAUCCAACCAGAAAGUCACGGCUAACUACGUGCCAGCAGCCGCGGUAAUACGUAGGUGGCAAGCGUUAUCCGGAUUUAUUGGGCGUAAAGCGAGCGCAGGCGGUUGCUUAGGUCUGAUGUGAAAGCCUUCGGCUUAACCGAAGAAGUGCAUCGGAAACCGGGCGACUUGAGUGCAGAAGAGGACAGUGGAACUCCAUGUGUAGCGGUGGAAUGCGUAGAUAUAUGGAAGAACACCAGUGGCGAAGGCGGCUGUCUGGUCUGCAACUGACGCUGAGGCUCGAAAGCAUGGGUAGCGAACAGGAUUAGAUACCCUGGUAGUCCAUGCCGUAAACGAUGAGUGCUAGGUGUUUGGGUGUUUCCGCCCUUCCAGUGCCGGAAGCGGCGGAUAUAAGCACUCCGCCUGGGGGAGUACGGCCGCAAGGGUGAAAGUCAAAGGAAUGAACGGGGGCCCGCGCAAGCGUUGGGGCACGUGGUUUAAUUCGAAGCAACGCGAAGAACCUUACCAGGUCUUGACAUCCAGUGCAAACCUAAGAGAUUAGGUGUUCCCUUCGGGGACGUUGAGACAGGUGGUGCAUGGCUGUCGUCAGCUCGUGUCGUGAGAUGUUGGGUUAAGUCCCGCAACGAGCGCAACCCUUGUCAUUAGUUGCCAUCAUUAAGUUGGGCACUCUAAUGAGACUGCCGGUGACAAACCGGAGGAAGGUGGGGAUGACGUCAAGUCCUCCUCCCCCUUAUGACCUGGGCUACACACGUGCUACAAUGGACGGUACAACGAGAAGCGAACCUGCGAAGGCAAGCGGAUCUCUUAAAGCUGUUCUCAGUUCGGACUGUAGGCUGCAACUCGCCUACACGAAGCUGGAAUCGCUAGUAAUCGCGGAUCAGCACGCCGCGGUGAAUACGUUCCCGGGCCUUGUACUCAACGCCCGUCA